CAGUUUGCUGUUCUUAUUCAUUGAUAUAUGUGAAAGGAAAUUUUGUAUUUCAUGUGGAUUUUUCAUAAACUGCCGCUUUUCAAGGUAAUUGUGAAAAAAAUUAAUUGCUUGCUCCUCCGUUAAACGAACCUUGUAAGAACACUCAAAUAUGCUCAUCUUAAGAACAUUUCAUACACCCUGUUUUAUUAUAUCAUACUUGUAAACUAGAACAGUUAACAACUUACAAACACUUCCCUGUUAUUUUCUGUUUGAUAAUUGUUAAAAAAUCACUCAUUUCGACAUGAAAGGUCUCUGCAGUAAUGAACGAUAUGACAAUAUUUGAAAAACCAAAACGUAUUUAAACGUUGGAUAGCUGAUCAAACCAGGAUACACCUAAGAUAAAGUCAAAUUCGAACAAGAAACAGAGCUGAAGAAGAUAUAUCCCUUAGUUUAUAAUUAUUUUCGAAAUGUUAUAACAACAACUUUCAAUCAAAACAUAUACGUAUUUAACAAGAGAUGUAGCAACUUUGCUGGUGACAUCACCGGGGACUAACAGUCGAACCAUCAGAUGUAUCGACCAAAUGGUCGGUAUCACAUUAACGGUACCUUUUAAACAGCAACAGAUCCGCGUUUUGACACAACAUGUUAUGUCAAUAAUACUCGAGGCUACAAUACUUGAAAAAAAUAUACUUGAAGAGCUCAUUAAAAAAAGGAUAUGUAGCCAAAACCUGACAAGUAUUCAGUGCUUUAAGUGAGGGAUGUAUGUUUCAAAAUGGCACACCACUUCCUUAAUGUUAUAACAACAAAUUUCAAUAAUGAAAUUACCUAUUUUCAUAAUAUUAUUACCAACGAACUGGUUACUUUGCUGACGGUUAACUUGGGUUCAGCAAACUGAAAUAUGAUAUGAUGUCAUAUUAUGUUGAUACAUUUUAUUAUGGGUAAAUGAAUAUUAAGUUUUAAAUCCUUUGAUGGUCAAUGGCAAUAUUUUAUCUUGUAUUUGCCUUAGUUAAACGAUUCUUUAACCUCUAAAAUCUUGUGAGAAAAAUAAUUUGAAAAUUUAUGUUCCAUGGACUAGAAAAGAAUAGUCAAUAUUAACCAAAACAAUACAAUUAUGUAAUAUUUCAAUCAAUAAUCAACAAUUAUAAAGUACUCUUUCAAAUCAAUUGCAUAGCACACUUUUGUGUAGUUUAUAAAUCGUUAAUGAAUGAAGUACAUUUUAUCAAAUGUGUACAUACUAUAUAACCCUAGGUUGAGUGUUUUUUUUUAUUACUUUGUGUUUCUUGUAUUAAGUGGUCCAUUUCUUUUCCAUAUAUUAUAUAAUUAGGUAUUAAAAGAAGAGGUUAAUUUUCACUUGAUAAAAUCAAUGAAGCAUGAUAACCCUCGAUAUCACUUCUGUGAUAAAACGUACAGAUACUGAUAAUACAUUUGUCAACAAUAGUAUACCCUUGUAUUAGAAAACAUUUACCUAAUAUACACGAAGGUAGUAUGGUUAAUGUAAAGGGAUAUAUUUCAACAAUUCCGGAGGAAGUUGUUUAUCGAACGAAAUCGACCUUUCAAAAUUUUUGAACGUGGAUUUAACUUUCUUAACUACCGAUAAAUCACGCAAAACAAACACUUGUUCAGUUUUCAAGGAAAAAAAGGAUUGUAAUUAGUUUGCAACCACAAUCGGACAAUAUUUCUCUUGUUCUAACCUUUUCGGUAUCUAUUUAAAUCAGUAUUAUCGACUUAUUUCCCCACGAAUGUAAACAUAUAAUUCGAAAGUGUUAUUUCAAUCAACAACGACGAAUCUAAUAUAUUUAUAUUUCAUUGCUCACUAGAACGAUAACGGAUUGAAAACACUUACACAAUUUUUCUGUUUAAUGUUGUAGUAGGAAAUAGUGUUUUGUGACCCAAUUUUUUCUCUUGUUAUUCUGAAAGCAGAUUUGAAAAGUGAGAGGCAAAAAAUAUCAAAGGGACAAUCAAUCUCAUAAAUUGAAAAGACUGACAAUGCCAUGGUUUCAAAAGAAAAAACAAAAACAUACGGACAUUAGUACACAUAACACAAACCAAAAAAACACUUAAGACUGAGCAACAUAAACCUCACCUAUAACUGGGAGUUAUCUCAGUCGCGCCGGACAGGGAAGCAAUUUCUGUUCCACAUUUUGCACCCGUCGUGUUGGUACAAAUCCGGUAUGUCUAAUUCGGUAGGUCAAAUUCUCUUACAUUUUAUUCCUAAUUAUGCAACUUAGUUUACCUUGUGUUCAUAAUAAGAUUCCAUUUCUUUGUAUAAAAUAUACUAAACGUGUUAUAUUUUCACAGAAUGUAACUUGAAAACAAGCUUGAGGACCUAUCAUUUUGAUCAUAUUCAAAAUAUUUCAAAAUAUAUUCUACAAGUAAUUAAAAGAUCUAUAUGUUUAUACUCCUGUUCCUCCUUGCGUGAACAUUUCGAUUUUUCAGUGAAAUAUUUUUACUGGUCCGCGAAUCCCGAAAACUGUGUAUUGAGUAUUUCUAAAAAUGAACUUUGCUGAUACAUUAUUCUAUUGCAGGAUAGUUAAUCAACCUCAUUUAGUCGCUAUACCUAAAACCUAUGAUGUGACCUUGGGUUAGUUGGAGAUCGAUUCUAUAUGUAAUCAGCUUGUUAAAGAUAGCAAGGCGGUAUGGCAAACAGCCAAGGAAUCCUCUUUCAUGGAAAAAUUGAUGGUGGGAAUAGAAAAAUACAUUUCAAGGUUCAUGGACCAGAAAGAAUGAAUUGUUUACUUCUAUAUUUACGACCUGAUAUAAUAUCACUUAAUGGCGUAACAAUGAUAGCUGAUGUCACAGUAAAUGACCACGAUUUACCAAUGAUCUUUGUUUCUGGAACAGAAUAUUGUCUUGAGAUCUAUGGAUUAAAAAAGGAAAAUGGAAUGGAAGAACAUUAUACGGUUUUAGCCUACGGAUGCACACACUUUUUAGGUAAAACUUUAACACGUUACUAUCUGUGCCAACUUCAUAAUAAAAACAUAAUAUAAAUAAUGUUAAUCAUAACACCAAUAUGGAUAGAAAUGAUUAUAAGGAUAAUAACAUGAACAAGAAUGUGUCCAUAGUUCACAGAUACCCAACUCGCACUAUCUUUUACUAUUUUUAGUGAACGGUGAAAUUGGCAUUAAAAUUUGAGAGAUCUUACUAUAUAUGUACUAAAUUUCAAGUUGAUUGGACUUCAACUUCAUAAAAAAAACCACUUUGACCAAAAACUUUUACCGCUAAAGCGGGACAAAUGGACCAAAGAACGAACGGACGGAUGAAGGAACAAACCAACAAAUGCUCAAACAUAAAAACAUAAUGUCCGUAGGUGGGAUAUGACACUAAAUAUUUCAAACAAAAAGAAUAUUCCUUUAAUGUAUCAUAAAUUAAUUUAUUGUAUAUCACUCAAGCAAGAUGAAAUUCACGCUUUUAAAGCGCUUGUACUUUGAUAACUGAUGAAAAAUCAUUAUAGAAUCCAAUUGCCCGACUGAUAAUGAAAUAAUGAAAUGAAAAAAUCUAUAUGAAAUAUUAAUUUAAACAAAAAUAAAACCACGAAACUAGCUGGUAUAUUUAAAAGCAAAGAAGGACGAUGCUAAUAUUUGAUGAUUUCUCUCACCACGCAAACACUAACUGGUUUGUAAUAAUUUUCUGUAGUUAAAUUUGCAAGGAAUGAUAAAGAGUCUCUAUUAAAACAUGGACAUAUCUUAUAUCAGACAACUUGACAUGGGUGGGAAUCUCCUAUGAUUAAAAUUAUCAACUGAAGCC
rnacentral:lncRNA from 1 species